AGUCGAACGUGAAAGCACUUCGGUGUGAGUAGAGUGGCGGACGGGUGAGUAACGCGUGGGAAUCUACCCAGUAGUGGGGGACAACUACCGGAAACGGUAGCUAAUACCGCAUACGCCCUAUGGGGGAAAGGCUUCGGCCGCUAUUGGAUGAGCCCGCGUCAGAUUAGCUAGUUGGUAGGGUAAAGGCCUACCAAGGCAACGAUCUGUAGCUGGUCUGAGAGGACGAACAGCCACACUGGGACUGAGACACGGCCCAGACUCCUACGGGAGGCAGCAGUGGGGAAUAUUGGACAAUGGGCGAAAGCCUGAUCCAGCAAUGCCGCGUGUGUGAAGAAGGCCUGCGGGUUGUAAAGCACUUUCAGUUGGGAAGAUGAUGACGUUACCAACAGAAGAAGCACCGGCUAAAUCCGUGCCAGCAGCCGCGGUAAUACGGAUGGUGCGAGCGUUAAUCGGAAUUACUGGGCGUAAAGCGCGCGUAGGCGGCUAAGUCAGUCAGAAGUGAAAGCCCCGGGCUCAACCUGGGAAUUGCUUUUGAUACUGCUUAGCUAGAGUUUGGUAGAGGAUAGUGGAAUUCCAGGUGUAGCGGUGAAAUGCGUAGAUAUCUGGAGGAACAUCAGUGGCGAAGGCGACUGUCUGGACCAAAACUGACGCUGAGGUGCGAAAGCGUGGGUAGCAACCAGGAUUAGAUACCCUGGUAGUCCACGCCGUAAACGAUGUCAACUAGCCGUCGGGUCUAUUUACAGACUUGGUGGCGCAGCUAACGCGAUAAGUUGACCGCCUGGGGAGUACGGCCGCAAGGUUAAAACUCAAAGGAAUUGACGGGGGCCCGCACAAGCGGUGGAGCAUGUGGUUUAA
rnacentral:rRNA from 1 species